rnacentral:ncRNA from 1 species
UUCUUUGGGGCGGGGCGCAAAUCCCCACCGGCAGUAUAGUCUGCGAGCCGCUUGCGGCAGAUUCGGUGCGAUUCCGAAACCGACGGUAUAGUCCGGAUGGAAAAAGA